AGUGGCGCACGGGUGAGUAACGCGUGGAUGAUCUACCCCGAAGUUUGGGACAACAGUUGGAAACGACUGCUAAUACCGGAUAUGGCACCAUUUCAUCUUGGUGUUAAAGGAGGCCUCUGUAUAUGCUUUCGCUUUGGGAUGAGUCCGCGUCUCAUUAGGUAGACGGUGGGGUAACGGCCUACCGUGCCUACGAUGAGUAGCUGGUCUUAGAGGAUGAUCAGCCACACUGGGACUGGAACACGGCCCAGACUCCUACGGGAGGCAGCAGUGGGGAAUAUUGCGCAAUGGGCGAAAGCCUGACGCAGCGACGCCGCGUGAGGGAUGAAGGGCUUCGGUUCGUAAACCUCUGUCAGAAGGGAAGAAGUGUGACAGUGCUAAUCAGCUGUCAUUUGACGGUACCUUCAAAGGAAGCACCGGCUAACUCCGUGCCAGCAGCCGCGGUAAUACGGAGGGUGCAAGCGUUAAUCGGAAUCACUGGGCGUAAAGCGCAUGUAGGCUGUUUGAUAAGUCAGGGGUGAAAUCCCACGGCUCACCCGUGGAACUGCCUUUGAUACUGUCGGACUUGAGUCUGUGAGAGGAUAGUGGAAUUCCAGGUGUAGGGGUGAAAUCCGUAGAGAUCUGGAGGAACAUCAGUGGCGAAGGCGACUAUCUGGUGCAGUACUGACGCUGAGAUGCGAAAGCGUGGGGAUCAAACAGGAUUAGAUACCCUGGUAGUCCACGCU
rnacentral:rRNA from 1 species